rnacentral:rRNA from 1 species
CCUACGGGUGGCAGCAGUGGGGAAUAUUGGACAAUGGGGGCAACCCUGAUCCAGCCAUGCCGCGUGUGUGAAGAAGGCCCUCGGGUUGUAAAGCACUUUCAGUGAGGAAGAACGCCUGGUGGUUAAUACCCAUCAGGAAAGACAUCACUCACAGAAGAAGCACCGGUUAACUCCGUGCCAGCAGCCGCGGUAAUACGGAGGGUGCGAGCGUUAAUCGGAAUUACUGGGCGUAAAGCGCGCGUAGGUGGCUUGAUAAGCCGGUUGUGAAAGCCCCGGGCUCAACCUGGGAACGGCAUCCGGAACUGUCAAGCUAGAGUGCAGGAGAGGAAGGUAGAAUUCCCGGUGUAGCGGUGAAAUGCGUAGAGAUCGGGAGGAAUACCAGUGGCGAAGGCGGCCUUCUGGACUGACACUGACACUGAGGUGCGAAAGCGUGGGUAGCAAACAGGAUUAGAUACCCGUGUAGUC